rnacentral:rRNA from 1 species
CAAUAGCGUAUAUUAAAGUUGUUGCAGUUAAAAAGCUCGUAGUUGGAUUUCGGGGUGGCCUGGCUGGUCCGCCGCAAGGUGAGUACUGGUCAGCCGCCCUUCCUCUCGAAAGCCUCGACUGCUCUUUACUGCAGUGGUCGGGUAGUUCGGGACGUUUACUUUGAAAAAAUUAGAGUGUUCAAGGCAGGCUAUCGCCUGAAUACAUUAGCAUGGAAUAAUGGAAGAGGACCUCGGUCCUAUUUUGUUGGUUUCUAGGGCCGAAGUAAUGAUUAAGAGGGACAGUUGGGGGCAUUCGUAUUUAAUUGUCAGAGGUGAAAUUCUUGGAUUUAUGAAAGACGAACUAGUGCGAAAGCAUUUGCCAAGGAUGUUUUCAUUAA